UCUUUGCUAGUAUAUCGGCUAGUACACGCGCCUGUCAUCAACGUUUACGCGCGAAAGCUGGGUUCGACUCCCAGGCAGAGAG